CCUACGGGUGGCAGCAGUGGGGGAUAUUCGACAAUGGGGGGAACCCUGAUCCAGCGACGCCGCGUGAGUGAAGAAGUAUCUCGGUAUGUAAAGCUCUAUCAGCAGGGAAGAAGAAAUGACGGUACCUGAGUAAGACGCCUCGGCUAACUACGUGCCAGCAGCCGCGGUACUACGUAGGCGGCAAGCGUUAUCCGGAUUUACUGGGUGUAAAGGGAGCGUAGACGGCGGUGCAAGCCAGAUGUGAAAGCCCGGGGCUCAACCCGGGGACUGCAUUUGGAACUGUGCUGCUAGAGUGUAGGAGAGGCAGGCGGAAUUCCUAGUGUAGCGGUGAAAUGCGUAGAUAUUAGGAGGAACACCAGUGGCGAAGGCGGCCUUCUGGACGAUGACUGACGUUGAGGCUCGAAAGCGUGGGGAGCAAACAGGAUUAGAUACCCCUGUAGUC
rnacentral:rRNA from 1 species